AGUAGGUUUGCUGGGCCAUAUGGUAAGUGUAUGCCUAACUUUAUAAGAAAUUGCCAAUCUGUUUUCCAAAGUGGCUGUGCCAUUUUGCUUUCCCAACAGCAAU
rnacentral:pre_miRNA from 1 species